UACGUAGGGGGCAAGCGUUGUCCGGAAUUAUUGGGCGUAAAGCGCGUGUAGGCGGUCCGGUAAGUCGGCUGUGAAAGUCCAGGGCUCAACCCUGGGAUGCCGGUCGAUACUGCCGGACUAGAGUUCGGAAGAGGCGAGUGGAAUUCCCGGUGUAGCGGUGAAAUGCGCAGAUAUCGUAAGGAAGACCAGUGGCGAAGGCGGGUCUCUGGACAGUUCCUGACGCUGAGGCACGAAGGCCAGGGGAGCAAACGGG
rnacentral:rRNA from 1 species